GUGACUGUGAGACAAGGGCAUGCAGCCUGCUGAGACCUGCCAGGGGCUGCUGGGGUCAGGGAAGAGAGCUCUCCCCCGGGAGCCGGGCACUGGGCCAGCCAGGAUGGUGAGCCACCCGGGGCUGGGAGGCAAGAGGCCCGUCUGCCUCUCAUUUCACACGCUCCAUAGGUGGCCGAGCCACUAUUAGCCGGGAUUGAAGAGGGAGGGACAGUGGGUAGGAGUAAUGCCCUGAACUGAAAUCGGGUGGUGGGACCCACAACCUUGCUCUGUAGCAGGGAGGUGGCAGCAGUGGGCAAGGCCAUGAGAGAUGGGGCCAGAUGGCAGAAGGCCAGGAAUAGUAGCCUGAGGGUGGCGGAGCUUUAACCCUUGUCUGAGAAGCCCAGUGGGACCGCAGGAGGCGGGGAGGUGACAGGGCCCAGGGUCUGACCAGGCCCAGCGAUGACUGUGGCAGGGUCCUGCAGGCCAGGGACUCCUCGCAAUGACAUGACAUGGGGUGUUGAGACCUAUAAUUGCACAUUUUCAACUCUGUGCAAAGACUUCUGGGAAAGAGGUUUCUGAGUGACAUUUCUCCCAGAAGGCCGUGGCUCUCGUGCCUGCUCACUGGUAGGCAUAAAGAGGAGGUACACAGGUGUCAAGAGGGGGUCAUUUGCUGGCUGUGGACCUGGGAAGGUUCAGUUGAGCAUCAGGAGGUGGGACUUUGGUGGAGGACGCUGAGGGCAGGAGGCCAGGCACAGUCCAGCCCAGCUCUCAACCCCUCAGGGUGGUUCUCAUCGCCAAGGUCAGCUGUGGAAGCCCCUCAUGGCCCCGUCCUCUGCGCCUGAAAUCGUCACUGGUCAGGACCAAACCGCCUCCUCCCUUGUCAUUCGCAGCCUCCUGAGCCCACCUCUGCCCCCACCCCUCCCGGUGGUCCCUGAGGGGCCCCCUGCUUCCUCAUCUCUUGGAGCGGGCACCACCCCACCCUUCCUCUGAGGUGGGGUCUCACUGUGAC
rnacentral:lncRNA from 1 species